UACGGGGGGAGCAAGCGUUGUUCGGAUUUACUGGGCGUAAAGGGCGCGUAGGCGGUCGUGACAAGUCACUUGUGAAAUCUCCGGGCUUAACUCGGAACGGUCAAGUGAUACUGUCGGACUAGAGUACAGAAGGGGCAACUGGAAUUCUCGGUGUAGCGGUGAAAUGCGUAGAUAUCGAGAGGAACGCCCAAGGCGAAGGCAGGCAGCUGGGCCAAUUCUGACGCUGAGGCACGAAAGCGUGGGGAGCAAACGGG
rnacentral:rRNA from 1 species